CCUACGGGAGGCAGCAGUGGGGAAUAUUGCACAAUGGGGGGAACCCUGAUGCAGCGACGCCGCGUGAGUGAAGAAGUAUUUCGGUAUGUAAAGCUCUGUCAGCAGGGAAGAAGAAAGACGGUACCUGACCAAGAAGCCCCGGCUAACUACGUGCCAGCAGCCGCGGUAAUACGUAGGGGGCAAGCGUUAUCCGGAUUUACUGGGUGUAAAGGGAGCGUAGACGGCAGGGCAAGUCUGAAGUGAAAGGCAGGGGGACAACCCCUGGACUGCUCUGGAAACUGUCCGGCUAGAGUGCAGUAGAGGUAAGUGGAAUGCCUAGUGUAGCGGUGAAAUGCGUAGAUAUUAGGAGGAACACCAGUGGCGAAGGCGGCUUACUGGACUGUAACUGACGUUGAGGCUCGAAAGCGUGGGGAGCAAACAGGAUUAGAUACCCGAGUAGUC
rnacentral:rRNA from 1 species